AGCUGCUGUCUGCUGGACUGGAGAGUCCAAACUGUAGACUAGAGAUUCUGAGAUUAAGGCGCUGCAGGUUGUCAGACAUCAGCUGUGCUUCUCUGGCCUCAGCUCUGAAGUCCAACCCCUCCCAUCUGAGAGAGCUGGAACUGAAUAAUAACAAGCUGCGGGAUUCAGGAGUGAAGCUGCUGUCUGAUCUGAAGGAGAGUCCACACUGUAGGCUGGAGACUCUGAGCUGCUGAUCUCUGUCAGAGUGUGAGGGGUCAGAAAGGUGGAGGUGUUGAGAGAGGAUCAGCUGUGUCCUGAUGAUCCAGAGAGGUUGAAGCAGCAGCAUCAGCUUGUGUGUGGAGAGGCUCUGACUGGGCCAUGUUACUGGGAGGUAGAGUGGAGAGGAGAGCUUCAUCCAGCAGUGACUGACAGAGGAAUCCCAACAGUGCUGCAGUCUGAACUGCUCUGAGAUCAGCUCCACUGUCAGACACAAAGUCAAGUCCACCAUCAUCCCUGUGUGUUCCUCUGGAUGUGACAGAGUAUCAUCAGUGGAUCUGGACUGCUCUGCUGCUGCUCUGUCCUUCUACACAGUCUCUGCAGACACACUGAGACUCCUCCACUCCUUCUGCUGCACACUCAGACACCUCCUCCACCUGGACCUGCACCUGGACCUGCACCUGGACCUGGACUUUAUUUCCUUCAGAUGUUCUGAACCCAAAGAGCCUCUGCAGAUUAGUUCUGUUUCUGACAACAGAACUGCAGAUGAACACUUCUUUAAGCUGACUACUUAAUUCUGAGGCUUUGCACAUCCAGGAAGUUAAAGUGGGAAAGGAUCUUCUAUAGUGUUUUACAAAUGUUUAUCCAGUUUGCAACACAUCUGAUAAUCAUAACUUUGUAUAACAUGAUCUCUCUUCUUAGUAUGUUCCUGUAUGAUGUCACCCUGUCCAUAUAACAGUUUAUUUGUUACAGCGUGGACCCAAGCUUAGGACACAUUCACGCUGUGGCCGUUUUUAUACACAACAAAUUUAGAUAUUUACAUUUUUUCUUGGGCGCCAGCCAGGCUGAACCUGACAGAGUUAUUCCUGGAUACAUGUAACACGGCAGUGCACCCUCAGAAGGAAACAUGACACAUUUUAGGAAAAACCUGAUUAAAAUCCCACACACAGAAAUCAGUUUUGGUUUCUCUUAAGAAAAUAUAUUGUCAGAAACAUUUUAAGAAAAGCAGGGCGUGGUCCAACAAACAAUAAAUCAAAGAGAAAUAAAGACAAACACUCAGUCCCCUUGGGAUAGUUACACUCUGUCAGCUCUUUUCACAACAAGGCUCACUCCAGCACCAAAAGGUGAUCAAAGUAACUCAGUUCCAAACUCGUUCCGCUCCAACACCUCUAAUCUCUGCCAGGAAUAGUUGUUAAGGUGCGAGGAACACAAAGCGUCAGUCAGUUUGCCCGUCAGUCAGAGGCAGCUCCGGAACAGAAAAGGCUCCACGUUACGUUGUCCUCCGUGGUGAUAUCCAAAAAUUUGCUCCACUUGUACCGACGCUUUACCUUCUCCUAACCCGACUGUACGACUCUAUUAAUAAUAAAAUUACGUAGAGAACUUCCAACCAGACGCCACCGCUCGCCGGCCGCUAAGACGCGUCCUUAGCUCUAGCCAACGUCACUUCCACGCGGCCUGGCGGCCCGCUGUUGCCUUCAGGGCCCCGGUAAAAAUGUGGUUUUGUCACAACGCGAGACAGAAGGUUUAUUUGCAGAAGGUGACUGGGGGUGGAGGAGCGACGGUGAAUGGCGUGUGCAGGCUGGAACAGGACAGGAUUAGCAGUCUCACAACCAGUCAGGCAGAUGAGGAAUGAUCCUGUGCACAAAGAAAAAGCCUGCUGUUAUUAUAAUGUUUGCACCAAAGAAGAAGAACUUGUUCUUAAAGCAGAGAGGACUGCAGCACGUCUUUACCACUGGAGCUGUACGGCACGGGCAGCUGGAAUGGCAGACGGGCCCAGUCCAACCCGUCCCAGUAAACUGGGAGUGCCUACCGCUGUCUUUUGCUUUUGAGGGAGUCUACAUGGAAGGUAGAGCAAAAGCUGCGUUAGCAACAGCAUUUCUCACUUUGUUCUCCUCAUGUGGACAACAAUGGAGUCACACAGCAAUGAUUAGAGAACUUUAAUAUGUACUAUAUGAGGCCAAUGUUUGUAAUGUUUGACUAAGAAAUGAUCUUGUUACGCAGUAAAAGAAACCUUCAGGUUAUUUUGGGUUUUUUAACCCUCUGUGUUGCAGCGCCACCUUCUGUCAGUCCUAGGGAGGAUCCCUCCUCUGCUGCUUCUCCUGAGCUUUCUUCAUUUUUUAGGGGAAUCGAGGUUAUAAGGUCAGAGCGGGUCGUAUGCUGUACAGAUUAUAAAUCCGCUUGAUGAAUAUUUGUCUGGAGUGAAACGGACCUGGUGAUGUGAAGACUUUCUUUCUGACUGACUUCAUUUUGUUAAAAUUAAGUGUAAUUAUAAUUUAGUUAAAUUCUCCUGAUGAGUCUUUGAUUUAAAAGUGGUGGUGAUUUUAUAACCACUGAUGAUGAUGAUGAUGAUGUACUGCAGGAUCUCUGUUAAGUCGUCUCCUGAUGCUUGUGUGGUGGGUUUUAGUUUUAUAUAUUUUUAUUAUAUUUUGUGCAUUCUGUGUUUUAUACUCUGUGUCCCUGCAGGCUUUUCUCUCUUUGGAACAAUAAAGUUGAUAUAUUCAAUAAAUGAGCCUUAAACAGAGGCGUGAUCUCUACAUGCA